UACGGAGGGAGCUAGCGUUGUUCGGAAUUACUGGGCGUAAAGCGCACGUAGGCGGCUAUUCAAGUCAGGGGUGAAAUCCCGGGGCUCAACCCCGGAACUGCCUCUGAAACUAGAUAGCUAGAAUCUUGGAGAGGUCAGUGGAAUUCCGAGUGUAGAGGUGAAAUUCGUAGAUAUUCGGAAGAACACCAGUGGCGAAGGCGACUGACUGGACAAGUAUUGACGCUGAGGUGCGAAAGCGUGGGGAGCAAACAGG
rnacentral:rRNA from 1 species